rfam:Lactobacillus sp. wkB8, complete genome.
AUGUCCUUUAAAAUUAGUCCCGUGAGGCUAGCAAGGAAAGCUCAAUUAAGUAUUGACUUUUACACAGCACUUAGUCUCAAUAGAUUAAGUGUUUUUUCAU